rnacentral:rRNA from 1 species
CCUACGGGUGGCAGCAGUGGGGAAUAUUGGACAAUGGGCGAAAGCCUGAUCCAGCCAUGCCGCGUGUGUGAAGAAGGCCUUCGGGUUGUAAAGCACUUUCAGUGGGGAAGAAAGCCUUGGGGCUAAUACCCUCGAGGAAGGACAUCACCCACAGAAGAAGCACCGGCUAACUCCGUGCCAGCAGCCGCGGUAAUACGGAGGGUGCGAGCGUUAAUCGGAAUUACUGGGCGUAAAGCGCGCGUAGGCGGUCUGAUAAGCCGGUUGUGAAAGCCCCGGGCUCAACCUGGGAACGGCAUCCGGAACUGUCAGGCUAGAGUGCAGGAGAGGAAGGUAGAAUUCCCGGUGUAGCAGUGAAAUGCGUAGAGAUCGGGAGGAAUACCAGUGGCGAAGGCGGCCUUCUGGACUGACACUGACGCUGAGGUGCGAAAGCGUGGGUAGCAAACAGGAUUAGAUCCCCCGGUAGUC